GACGUAGGGCGCGAGCGUUGUCCGGAUUUAUUGGGCGUAAAGAGCUCGUAGGCGGCUUGUCGCGUCGACUGUGAAAUCCCGCGGCUCAACUGCGGGUCUGCAGUCGAUACGGGCAGGCUAGAGUUCGGUAGGGGAGACUGGAAUUCCUGGUGUAGCGGUGAAAUGCGCAGAUAUCAGGAAGAACACCUAUGGCGAAAGGCAGCUCUCUGGGGACGGUACUGACGCUGAGACGCGAAAAGCGUGGGGGAGCGAAC
rnacentral:rRNA from 1 species